rnacentral:rRNA from 1 species
UAGGGAAUCUUCCACAAUGGGCGAAAGCCUGAUGGAGCAACACCGCGUGUGUGAUGAAGGCUUUCGGGUCGUAAAGCACUGUUGUAUGGGAAGAACAGCUAGAAUAGGAAAUGAUUUUAGUUUGACGGUACCAUACCAGAAAGGGACGGCUAAAUACGUGCCAG